rnacentral:rRNA from 1 species
UAAGUCAGCCACGAAUAGGCUAUCCCAACUAACGGCGGGAAAGACUCCACGGAGGGUGUAAGACCCGUGUGGGCGCGUGUCAAAGCUGUGCGGGCUCGGCCUCUUUUCCCUGAGAGUCGCGUUGCUUGAGCAUGCAGCGCUAAGCAGGUCGUAAACUCGAUCUAAGGCUAAAUAUCUCCACAGAACCGAUAGCGAACAAGUACCGUGAGGGAAAGUUGAAAAGCACUCUGGAGAGAGAGUCAAAAGACCGUGAAACCGCUCAGAGUAUAAGCCCAUGGCAGCUUGGAAGGCAUAUCGCUAGCGGGGCAUCGGUCUCCCUUCACGGGGAGCUGGUGUUACCUUGCUUCUGUUGUGGCUCGUUAUGGUAGGGGGGUCAAGUCCACAUCCCGCCGUCGUGUGGGGAGUUCUCGGGCGUGUCGUUGCUUUGCGGUUGACUUCGGUUGGCCGUAGGGCUCUUCGCGCUUGGUUCUCCUUUUUAGACACGAACGUUCAGACUCAGUUGCAAGACGCGAUAACCAGCCCACCACGGCACGUUGUGAGGUCACCCACAGGCUUGGCUUUCGAUUGUGGUCCUUGACGCCGAGCAAGCACAAUGCGUGUCGCAGAUGUUCCUAACCGGGCAAUGGGCCAGGAUCGUGGAACGACACGCGCUCAAAAGUCAGGACCGGGCGAUGACAAAGUUCUGGUAUGAUCCUCAUGCGACGAGCCGGCUUCUGGCCGAUUCCGAUGCUCAGGUCUCCCGCAUGUGCCGCGGGAGAUCGCUUUGGCGGUCUGGA